UGGUUGUUGGGUUAUCACUGCAAAAGUCUUUCUAAAAUUAUCUAAGAAAUAAUUAUAAUUACGUCACGUGACCGCAGACGGCGAGUGCUAUUUCGGGUAUGAAAAGUAUGGAAAGAAGUCACACGGUCUAAAUCCGGAGAAUAUGGUGGAUGGGAUAGCAGUUUGUAGCAUAUGGUCGAUCAACACUUUUUUCAUAGUCAAAAGGCGCUGUAAUUACUGUCCACUCGAAGUCGAGUCGGCAUCGUCGAUAGCUGUGUUCAUUUUUCUCUUCUAUAAGCAAUCGCUGUAGAUCGCACCUUGUGAAUCCCAUAUACAACGGUGGCCAUAUCAGCUUUCGGGCCGAUAGAAUACUCUUCGUCUUCUUAGGAACAUUUGAGCCGGGUAAAAUUCAAUAUUUCGACUAUGAAACUCGUUAAACUAAUUUUUGAAGGACGCUACACGAUAGCAAAUUUCUCUUACGUUAGUGGCGACAUCGGGUGGUACUUGUCAGGCCACCCUAGUAUAAAUUAAUCAAAUACCACGGACGAUUCUAUUCCUUUCACAAUUUGGCGAAACAACGAAUGAAUUUAGUAAGGUUUUAUAAUAUUUUGCCAACACUUGAAAAUAUGGUAUGUUAUACUACACCAACGUUCACAGAGAAAAGGUCCCCACAACUUUGAAAUCAUAUGUAUGAUGACGAAGUUAAUUCAAAUUGGCUGGUUGCCAUAAUUUUGUGUAGUCCUUGAAACAGCUUAAAUAUUAAUUAUAAAGAGCUAUAAACUGCGAAUGUACUUGUAAGCAAUUAAUAAUAAUUUGUGUCAAAGAUUCUAUGAAAUAAUUUUGCUUUUAAAAUAUAUUGUAUAUUAAUUUGAAAUAAGUAUAAGUACAUUUGUUUUUUUCACAACAAUCUAGCCUGAUGUCAUUUACAACGAAUGUCAUACAUAUGUAGAUAAGUCAAACCCGUUAUUAAAAUUAAAAUUGAUAAAUUCGCAGCAGAAACCCAUAUUUUAUAAAAAAAAAAUCAAGUUCGUUUCAGAAGUGAUAAGAAGUUAAAUUAAAAAAAAAAUCGCUUUCAAAAAUCUGAAACUGGGAUGAAGUGUACAGUUGGUAAUUGUGCGCAAAAAUAAAUGCUUAUGAGUGAUAUGAAUAAGGACCUGUUGCUCUAAUUGUUGUAAAAUGGAUGAUUUCGAAAAAGACAACCCAUUCAAAUUGGAUAAGAUUCAUGUGCAAGUCUAUGAAUAAUCAUUCAAAAUUAGGUUUUUUCGAUGGCUGAAGACUGACCUAACCCCUUAAGAUCAUUUCAUUGGAAGGAGCUGAAAAAUAUCCUUUUCUAUAACAAUAAAAAAGAGCACACUAAAGGCACCGCCUUUUGGAAUUCGAUAUGAGUCCGGAAACCUCUCCUCUCCGUGCCAUGUAAUAUGUGUCGUGAAAGUAAUAAAUUCGAUAUAUUUUGGCGUCUGUUAGAAAUCUAUUUUUGCUGCAGUCACAUACAUACAAUCUUAAUUACUUUAUCCGCUUUCAUUCUCGAACGCCUAGCUAAGCUAAUUUAAAAUUGAAUUCUGCACUAAAAAGCCAAUGAAAUGACAAAUUAUGGAAAUAUAAGAGGCUUCUGUAAUGUCUACACAAUUUUAAGCGAUUUUCAAUAUAAUCACUUCAUAAGUUCUUACUUUUCAA